rnacentral:piRNA from 1 species
UGGAGUAAACAGUCAAUGACCACCCAGAAU